GAUGAACGCUGGCGGCGUGCCUAAUACAUGCAAGUCGAGCGAACGGACGCGAAGUUUGCUUCUCUGAUGUUAGCGGCGGACGGGUGAGUAACACGUGGAUAACCUACCUAUCAGACUGGGAUCACUUCGGGAAACCGGAGCUAAUACCGGAUGAUAUUUUGAACCGCAUGGGUCAAAAGUGAAAGACGGUCUUGCUGUCACUUAUAGAUGGAUCCGCGCUGCAUUAGCUAGUUGGUAAGGUAACGGCUUACCAAGGCAGCGAUGCAUAGCCGACCUGAGGGGGUGGUCGGCCGCCUUGGAACGUGGACACGCACCAGACUCCUACGGGAGGCAGCAGUAGGGAAUCGUCCGCAAUGGGCGAAAACCUUACGGAGCAACGCCGCGUGAGUGAUGAAAGUCUUCGGAUCGUAAAACUCUGUUAUUAGGUAAGAACAGAUUUGUAAGUAACUGUGCACAUCUUGACGGUACCUAGUCAAAAAGCCACGGCUAACUACGUG
rnacentral:rRNA from 1 species